ACCUGUGCAUGCACUAUACAUAAUCAUAAACAUUGACCCCUCUUUGGGAUCUCAUCAAUGCCCCAAUGGGUGACAUAACAUGUGUUGAGUUGGUUUACAUAAACAUCAUAAAACAUCUGAGAUCAUGUAUUAAAAGGGAUAACAAUACUCUAUGGUCAAGCACACCUCUAACAUCCAUGAACAUCUUUACAUUACAUUUCUAUACUGUACUUAU
rnacentral:lncRNA from 1 species